ACCUGUUAGAAAGGUUGUUCGAGAUAUGAGACAGAUCUUGUGCAAAAGUAAUCGAUUUCGAAGAAAAAAUAAUAUUGCAAUGUGUCAUUCUUGUAAAUAUAAGUAAAAAUAUAUACUUAUUUAACGAUGGAAAACUUAUGAAUCUCAAGAAUUCAUAAAAUGACGAAUUAAUUACAUCAAUUUUCCACGAAUAAUACGCAUAAUAUUAUAUAUUACGUUUUAUUUCAUCUUUAACUAAAUAUAUUAGUAUGUCUAAUUGUUGUUAAUAUUCUAAAAUAUAUGCUCAAUUAUUGUUUACCUUA